rnacentral:rRNA from 1 species
GUGAGGAAUAUUGGUCAAUGGGCGAGAGCCUGAACCAGCCAAGUCGCGUGAAGGAAGAAGGAUCUAUGGUUCGUAAACUUCUUUUGCAGGGGAAUAAAGUGCAGGACGUGUCCUGUUUUGUAUGUACCCUGAGAAUAAGGAUCGGCUAACUCCGUGCCAGCAGCCGCGGUAAUACGGAGGAUCCGAGCGUUAUCCGGAUUUAUUGGGUUUAAAGGGUGCGUAGGUGGUUUGAUAAGUCAGCGGUGAAAGUUUGCAGCUUAACUGUAAAAAUGCCGUUGGAACUGUCGGACUUGAGUGUAAAUGAGGUAGGCGGAAUGCGUGGUGUAGCGGUGAAAUGCAUAGAUAUCACGCAGAACUCCGAUUGCGAAGGCAGCUUACUAAGCUACAACUGACACUGAAGCACGAAAGCGUGGGGAUCAAACAGGAUUAGAUACCCGGGUAGUCC